GCCGCUAUAGUCUAGGGGUAUGACGUUCGCCUCACAGUUCCUGACAUGGGCUGCGCGCGAAAAGUCCUCAGUUCGAUCCUGAGUGGUGGCA